GUCAGGAUGGCCGAGCGGUCUAAGGUGCUGGAUUCAGGCUCUAGAGCCGUGGGUUCAAAUCCCACUUCUGACA